UAUGGCCAUAUAGCAUUGAAACCCUGAUUCCCAUAUGAUCACUGAAGUUAAGCAACAUUGAGCCUGGUCAGUACCUAGAUGGGUGACCACUUGGGAAUACCAGGUGCUGUAAG